GUCUACGACCAUACCACCCGGACAACACCGGUUCUCGUCUGAUCACCGAAGUUAAGCCUGGUCGGGCGAAGUUAGUACUUGGAUGGGUGACCGCCUGGGAAUACUUCGUGUUGUAGACU
rnacentral:rRNA from 1 species